AAUACCGCAUACGAUCUCUGGAUGAAAGCGGGGGACUCGCAAGAGCCUCGCGCGAUUGGAGCGGCCGAUAUCAGAUUAGCUAGUUGGCGGGGUAAAAGCCCACCAAGGCGACGAUCUGUAGCUGGUCUGAGAGGACGACCAGCCACACUGGAACUGAGACACGGUCCAGACUCCUACGGGAGGCAGCAGUGGGGAAUUUUGGACAAUGGGCGAAAGCCUGAUCCAGCAAUGCCGCGUGCAGGAUGAAGGCCUUCGGGUUGUAAACUGCUUUUGUACGGAACGAAACGGUCUGCCUUAAUACGGUGGGCUAAUGACGGUACCGUAAGAAUAAGCACCGGCUAACUACGUGCCAGCAGCCGCGGUAAUACGUAGGGUGCGAGCGUUAAUCGGAAUUACUGGGCGUAAAGCGUGCGCAGGCGGUGAUGUAAGACAGAUGUGAAAUCCCCGGGCUCAACCUGGGACCUGCAUUUGUGACUGUAUAGCUAGAGUACGGUAGAGGGGGAUGGAAUUCCGCGUGUAGCAGUGAAAUGCGUAGAUAUGCGGAGGAACACCGAUGGCGAAGGCAAUCCCCUGGACCUGUACUGACGCU
rnacentral:rRNA from 1 species